AGGGGAACGUGGCUUUUCCCCCCCGCAGUGUCCGUCUUCCCUUCCGCUUCGCCGCCGCCGCCCCCGCCGCCGCCGCCGCCGGAGCCGGAGCCGGAGCCCGAGCGCCGCCUCGCCAUGGACCCGGCCCUCAGCGACCCGCACAACGGCAGCGCCGAGGCCAGCGGCGCCGCCAACGGCACGGCGCGGCCGCCGUCCACGCCCGAGGGCAUCGCGCUGGCCUACGGCAGCCUCCUGCUCAUGGCGCUGCUGCCCAUCUUCUUCGGCGCCCUGCGCUCGGUGCGCUGCGCCCGCGGCAAGAACGCUUCGGACAUGCCAGAGACCAUCACCAGCCGGGACGCCGCCCGCUUUCCCAUCAUCGCCAGCUGCACGCUCUUGGGGCUCUACCUCUUCUUCAAAAUAUUCUCCCAGGAGUACAUCAACCUUUUGCUGUCCAUGUAUUUCUUCGUGCUGGGAAUCCUGGCCCUGUCCCACACCAUCAGCCCCUUCAUGAAUAAGUUUUUCCCAGCCAACUUCCCAAACCGACAGUACCAGCUGCUCUUCACGCAGGGCUCUGGGGAGAACAAGGAAGAGAUCAUCAACUACGAGUUCGACACCAAGGACCUGGUGUGCCUGGGCCUGAGCAGCGUCGUGGGCGUCUGGUAUCUGCUGCGGAAGCACUGGAUCGCCAACAACCUCUUCGGCCUGGCCUUCUCCCUCAACGGGGUGGAGCUCCUGCACCUCAACAACGUCAGCACCGGCUGCAUCCUCCUGGGCGGCCUCUUCAUCUACGACGUGUUCUGGGUGUUUGGCACCAAUGUGAUGGUGACCGUCGCCAAGUCCUUUGAGGCGCCGAUAAAAUUGGUGUUUCCCCAGGACCUGCUGGAAAAGGGCCUGGAUGCCGACAACUUCGCCAUGCUGGGACUCGGAGACAUCGUCAUUCCAGGAAUUUUCAUCGCCUUGCUGCUACGUUUUGACAUCAGCCUGAAGAAGAACACCCACACCUACUUCUACACCAGCUUUGCCGCCUACAUCUUUGGCCUGGGCCUCACCAUCUUCAUCAUGCACAUCUUCAAGCAUGCCCAGCCAGCUCUGCUCUACCUGGUCCCCGCCUGCAUCGGCUUUCCCGUCCUGGUGGCACUGGCCAAGGGAGAAGUGACAGAGAUGUUCAGCUACGAGUCCUCGGCGGAAAUCCUGCCUCAUACCCCGAGGCUCACCCACUUCCCCACGGUCUCGGGCUCCCCCGCCAGCCUGGCCGACUCCAUGCAGCAGAAGCUGGCCGGCCCGCACCGCCGGCGCCCGCACAGCCCCAGCGCCAUGUAGUGCCCAGCGGGUGUCCGCCUGCCCACUUUCCCCCACUGCCCCGAGGCCCAAGCUACGAGGAGUCAAAUCCUAAGGAUACAGCGGCAGCGACAGAAUCCAAAGAGGGCACCGAGGCGUCAGGGUCGCAGGGGCUGGAGAAGAAGGAGAAGUGACGCGGCAGCGCCCAGACCUUCUGCAGCCAGAGCCGCCGGCGGGACUGCGGCCGCGUGUGCAGCCUGCGGGCACGGGAGCGACUGACCGACUGACCAACCAGCUGACCGACCAACCGACCGACCGACUGACUGUGGGGCAGGCCCACCCCUGCCUCUCCACCCCCGCAGGCAAAGGAAGCCCCCUACGGUCCCCAUCCCCCCCAGUGCCAGGUGGGGAAAGUGGGUGUGCUUUAUAGGGUUUUGUAUUGCGAACUGACUUUGCCUCCCAUUAAAAAACUCAUUCCAUUGC